rnacentral:rRNA from 1 species
UACGUAGGGGGCAAGCGUUGUCCGGAUUUAUUGGGCGUAAAGAGCUCGUAGGCGGUUCCGUAAGUCGAGUGUGAAAAAUCUGGGCUCAACCCAGUGGAGCACUCGAUACUGCGGUGACUGGAGUACGGUAGAGGAGAGUGGAAUUCCUGGUGUAGCGGUGAAAUGCGCAGAUAUCAGGAAGAACACCUAUGGCGAAGGCAGCUCUCUGGGACGGUACUGACGCUGAGACGCGAAAGCGUGGGGAGCGAACAGG